UCAAGUGAAUAAGUGCAUACGACGGAUGCCUUGGCAGUAGAAGGCGAUGAAGGACGUGAUAAUCUGCGAUAAGCUUCGGUUAGCUGAUAAUAAGCUUUAACCCGGAGAUCUCCGAAUGGGAAAACCCAGUGAUCAUAAGAUCAUUAUCCUUAACUGAAUACAUAGGUUAAGGAGGCAAACCUAGGGAACUGAAACAUCUAAGUACCUAGAGGAAAAGAAAUCAACCGAGAUUCCCUUAGUAGCGGCGAGCGAACGGGGACCAGCCCUUAAGCAAUUUUGAGAUUAGUAGAAUGUUCUGGAAAGUUCAACGACACAGGGUGAUAGUCCCGUAUACGAAAAUCUUUUAAUUGUGAAAUCGAGUAAGGCGGCGCACGUGAAACGCUGUUUGAAUAUGGGGGGACCACCCUCCAAGGCUAAAUACUCUCUACUGACCGAUAGUGAACAAGUACCGUGAGGGAAAGGCGAAAAGAACCCCGGGAGGGGAGUGAAAUAGAACCUGAAAUCGUAUGCAUACAAGCAGUGGGAGCAGACUUGUUCUGUGACUGCGUACCUUUUGUAUAAUGGGUCAGCGACUUACUUCUCAGUAGCAAGGUUAACCAUUAGGGGAGCCGUAGGGAAACCGAGUCUUAAAUGGGCGAUUAGUUGCUGGGAGUAGACCCGAAACCGGGUGAUCUAUCCAUGGCCAGGGUGAAGGUUAGGUAAAACUAACUGGAGGCCCGAACCCACUUAUGUUGAAAAAUGAGGGGAUGAGCUGUGGAUAGGGGUGAAAGGCCAAACAAACCCGGAGAUAGCUGGUUCUCUCCGAAAUCUAUUUAGGUAGAGCGUCAUGUAUUACUUCUGGGGGUAGAGCACUGUUAUGGCUAGCGGGUCGUCAAGACUUAGUAAACCAUUGCAAACUCCGAAUACCAGAAAGUAUGAGCAUGGCAGACACACUGCGGGUGCUAACGUCCGUAGUGGAAAGGGAAACAACCCAGACCGUCAGCUAAGGUCCCAAAAUUAUAGUUAAGUGGGAAACGAUGUGAAAAGGCAUAGACAGCCAGGAGGUUGGCUUAGAAGCAGCCAUUCCUUUAAAGAGUGCGUAAUAGCUCACUGGUCGAGUCGGUUUGCGCGGAAGAUUUAACGGGGCUAAACUAUAUACCGAAGCUGCGGAUCGCAAUUUAUUGCGAUGGUAGGAGAGCGUUCUGUAAGCCGUUGAAGGUGAACUGUGAGGUUUGCUGGAGGUAUCAGAAGUGCGAAUGCUGACAUGAGUAACGAUAAAGGGGGUGAAAAACCCCCUCGCCAGAAGUCCAAGGUUUCCUACGCAACGUUAAUCGGCGUAGGGUUAGUCGGCCCCUAAGGCGAGGCAGAAAUGCGUAGUCGAUGGGAAACGGGUUAAUAUUCCCGUACUUCAUAUAACUGCGAUGGGAAGACGGAGAAGGUUAGCUCAGCAAGGCGAUGGUUGUCCUUGUUCAAGCGUGUAGAAAUGGUUCUUAGGAAAAUCCGGGAACCUCUAUUUCAAGGCGUGAUAACGAUCCCUCUUUUGGGAGAAGUGAGUGAGACCAUGCUUCCAGGAAAAUCCUCUAAGCUUCAGGUUAUAUGAAACCGUACCCCAAACCGACACAGGUGGACGAGAUGAGAAUUCUAAGGCGCUUGAGAGAACUCGGGUGAAGGAACUAGGCAAAAUGACACCGUAACUUCGGGAGAAGGUGUACUCUUGUUAUGUGAUAUCACUUGCUGAUAAAGCAGAAAAGAGUUGAAAAUACUAGGUGGCUGCGACUGUUUAUUAAAAACACAGCACUCUGCAAACACGUAAGUGGACGUAUAGGGUGUGACUCCUGCCCGGUGCUUGAAGGUUAAUUGAUGAGGUUAGCGCUUGCGCGAAGCUUUUGAUCGAAGCCCAAGUAAACGGCGGCCGUAACUAUAACGGUCCUAAGGUAGCGAAAUUCCUUGUCGGGUAAGUUCCGACCUGCACGAAUG
rnacentral:rRNA from 1 species